AGGGGAGAAGGAGGAAGUGAGUUAGGGCCUCAGUGGGAACUUGUUUCUCACCAUGCUGAUUGCUGUUGAUGGAUGUAUCCAGGAAAAAUAAACUGGGAUGGCCUAUGAAUUGUGUUUUCUUAUAUUUUGUAACCUGGGAGGGGCCUUGGGCAGUGGGAAAGGGACUGGUUAACUGAGGGUACAGCACAUUGGAGUCCCCUAAGCUUAUGGUCUCCCAAGGUUCUGGAAGGACUGGGUUUAGAAUGGGGCUGUCCCCAUUGGGGGAAGCGAUUAGAAAGGGGAAGAAGGUUUAUAGACUUCCUGGGAGGGCCUGGGUAGCUGGAAGUGGCUCAGUCAAAUGAGGGUGGAGCACAUCGGAGACCCUAAACACAUUGUCUUCCAAGGUUCUGGAAAGGUUCUGGAAGAAUUGGGUAUGUGUGGGGCUAUCCCAGUUGUGGGGAGAGAUUCUGGAGGAGAAAGAAGGCUUGAAGACUUCCUGGGAGGGACUGGGUAGUCUAGGUUCUGGAAGAGACUGGAUUUAGAGGGGGCUGGUCAGCUAAGAAUGGAGCACAUCAGAGACCCCAAAACACUUUUGUCUUUCAAACUUCAAGAAAAUUAGGGAUGAUAGUGGGGCUGUGCCUGUUGGGGGGAGAGAU
rnacentral:lncRNA from 1 species